rnacentral:ncRNA from 1 species
GGCUUGGUCCUGACUUUCUAUAAGCUUUAGCCCAACUUAUACAUGCAAGUCUCCGCACCCCUGUGAGAAUGCCCUCAGUCCCCCAUACCGGGGAAGAGGAGCUGGCAUCAGGCACCCCCUUCCCAGCCCAAGACGCCUUGCUAAGCCACACCCCCAAGGGAACUCAGCAGUAAUAAACAUUAGGCCAUAAGUGAAAACUUGACCUAGUCAGGGCUAAAAGGGCCGGUAAAAUCCGUGCCAGCCACCGCGGUUAUACGGAAAGGCCCAAGUUUAUAGGUACGGCGUAAAGGGUGGUUAAGGGAAAAUAGAAAAAUAAGGCCAAAGACCCCCUAAGCAGUGAUACGCUACAAGAGGGCACGAAGCCCAAGUACGAAAGUCGCCUUAGUACCCCUGACUCCACGAAAGCCGAAAAACAAACUGGGAUUAGAUACCCCACUAUGCUCAGCCUUAAACCCAGAUUAAAAAUUACGAAAUUAUCCGCCAGGGGACUACAAGCACAUCUUAAAACCCAAAGGACUUGGCGGUGCCUUAGACCCACCUAGAGGAGCCUGUUCUAGAACCGAUAACCCCCGUUAAACCUCACCACCCCUUGCCUUUCCCGCCUAUAUACCGCCGUCGUCAGCUUUCCCUAUGAAGGCUAUAAUAGUAAGCAAAAUGGAUACAACCCAAAACGUCAGGUCGAGGUGUAGCGCACGGAGUGGGAAGAAAUGGGCUACAUUUUCUACUAAAGAAUAUACGAACGAUAACAUGAAAAUAGUGUCUGAAGGAGGAUUUAGCAGUAAAAAGUAAACAGAGUGUACUUUUGAAAUAGGCUCUGAGGCGCGCACACACCGCCCGUCACUCUCCCCACCAUUACACAUAACUAUUUCUAAUACUUAACCACAAUAAAGGGGAGGCAAGUCGUAACAUGGUAAGUGUACCGGAAGGUGCACUUGGAAUAUC